rnacentral:rRNA from 1 species
AACGAACGCGGGCGGCAUGCCUAACACAUGCAAGUCGAACGAACCCUUCGGGGUUAGUGGCGCACGGGUGCGUAACGCGUGGGAAUCUGCCCUUUGCUUCGGAAUAACAGUUAGAAAUGACUGCUAAUACCGGAUGAUGUCUUCGGACCAAAGAUUUAUCGGCAAGGGAUGAGCCCGCGUAGGAUUAGGUAGUUGGUGGGGUAAAGGCCUACCAAGCCGACGAUCCUUAGCUGGUCUGAGAGGAUGAUCAGCCACACUGGGACUGAGACACGGCCCAGACUCCUACGGGAGGCAGCAGUGGGGAAUAUUGGACAAUGGGCGCAAGCCUGAUCCAGCAAUGCCGCGUGAGUGAUGAAGGCCUUCGGGUCGUAAAGCUCUUUUACCAGGGAUGAUAAUGACAGUACCUGGAGAAUAAGCUCCGGCUAACUCCGUGCCAGCCGCCGCAGUAAAAC